GCCGCACAAAGGGAAGCAGUGCCGCAACUAUUUCCUGUGACUGCAGGAGAACCCGCCUGUUCCUCUGGGUAAUCAUGAGCUGCAGGCAGCCUGGAUUGCGUCAUUCCGGCAGAGCUGGGGACUUCUCAGCAUGGGGAAAUGGCAUCCAGUUCCUGUGGGCAUGCCCAGCUGGCCCAACUUGAAAGGAGCACCAGACACAGCUGAAAAGCAGCUCACGUGGUGGACCUAGCACAGGGUUUUCUCCCGGGAUUCCUCUACGGUAUGCCAUGUACUGCUGUGGGUGAGAUGUGGAGGCUGCUGGUGACAUGCUGACAUGUGAAUGCUAUGUGUCACUGGGAAAUGAAGAACUACCAGGUUAAAUCUGCUGUGAUGUUAUGUGGCAUCAGCUUCAUGAAGUCAAGGUGAUGCCCACUGAAGUAAAGAGGCUUUUACGGUUCCUGCCUUUCAGGAUCUUCCUGACAUCCAUGAAGCUGAGAGCUUUGCUCUUAAAAUGUAAAAGGAGAGUUGAGGGAAAGUCAAAUGUGCCUUUCUGAAUGCUGCCAACUGUUCGGCACGACUGCCUUUCCCUGUCCUCAGUGAGGAGCUGGAGACCCCUCAGAGCCCAGAUUGUCAGGACAGCCCAUGGAGACUUUAAGAUAUUCAAAAUGACUUGAAAAUUGCAGAAAACAAACAAACAAAAAAACCAAAACAAACCCAAACCAACCAACAAACAAACACAAAACAAAACAAAAAAAACAUACCCUAAGGGCUGGAAACACCACUGCCUUCAUUGCCCUUCCAAACACAAUGCCUAAAUAAACCUGAUCUUUCAAAGCA
rnacentral:lncRNA from 1 species